CUUUCUUCUUGCCUGUUUCUCCCUUUUAGAAUGGGAAUGCCUAUCCUAUGCCUGUUUCACCACUGUAUUUAGAUAGUAAAAGUGCAAUGU